rnacentral:rRNA from 1 species
ACGCUCGACACCUACGGGAGCAGCAGUGAGGAAUAUUGGUCAAUGGGCGCUAGCCUGAACCAGCCAAGUAGCGUGAAGGAUGAAGGCUCUAUGGGUCGUAAACUUCUUUUAUAUAAGAAUAAAGUGCAGUAUGUAUACUGUUUUGUAUGUAUUAUAUGAAUAAGGAUCGGCUAACUCCGUGCCAGCAGCCGUGGUACGUAUCGNGGCGGCGGUGCGACGAG